UUGAAUAACUUGGUGUUGAGCUGGCCCCAGUCGGAGCAUGUGCUCGCAUCAUAUUAUUUAUCUAUCUCUUGUGCACCUUUUGUAGUCUUUGAAGCGCUCGCAGUCAAUGCGGUUUUGGGUCUUGGGCUUUGCUGCCCUUUUCCCUGUUUGUUUCAAAGGCUAUGUUUUAUACACACUAUCUGAAGUCACAGAAUGUCUCUUAUUGACUUUCGAGUCAGUAAAUCUAUA
rnacentral:misc_RNA from 1 species